rnacentral:lncRNA from 1 species
CGACGUGCUAAGCUGUUGACAUUGGCAAACACAUAUCCCUCGGGGAAUACCCCACAUCCACAAUAAAUUACGUAUUUCUGACUUUGGUGAUUUUGUUUUUUAGGAAAUGAAAACUGAGCGGAACUUAUACUGUUAUUGACGUUUUGGAUGGCCAUUUUGCUGAUGAUGACAAAUCCCUGGAAAUGGCAUUUCUUCAUCUACAUCAGGAGUCUGACAAAGAAAAGUGUUGUAUAAAGGUCAUUUUGUGCCUAAAUCAGGUAUAUAACCUGUCAGAUUAUAUUUUCAUUGCUUUUAGUAGGUUGGUUUAUGUUGUACCUUAUUCCUUUUAAUUGAAAUAUUCAUGCUAUUAAAGUGACUGCUCGAGCUCUCGAGACCAAUGUGACUUCCACUGUCCAUUGGGUUAUUUACGAAAAGAAUUACUACAGCAAUUAGUACGUGGUUAGAAAGGAUGAUUUAAUCCAUUUUGUAGUAUGAGAUAUGGUUGUGGCUUUUGUAAUGAAACUAAAAAUCUUAUUUUUGUAAAUUGAAGUUUUAUUUUGUAAUGUCCAAAAUCAGCUUUUUUAGUUCCAUUGGCACUUCAUUGCAACUUCCAUCCUGGACUCCUCCUUGCCUAGCCCAAAAAAUAGAGUAAAUGGAAAAUUACUUAUUCUCUGAUAAUGAUUCUCAUCCCCGACUCUUGAGCUGUUGCUAAUAGUCUAUUAAUGCAAAAUAUAGGUUAAAGAUAACUAAAUUUCCGCCUUAGAACACCAAUGCUAGAGGUAGGAAUUUAAAAGGUGUCUUAUGUUGACAAAAAAAUCGAUAAGAAUAGAACAUAGACUAAACUCAGAAUUAGCAGAGCAAUAAAAAACAGAGUUGUGUGUAUUAAAUUGAGAGAGCUAAAUCCAUGGUGAGCAUAAUGACUCCACUAAAAAACAGAAAAUCAUUGCAAGAAUUUCUCAUACUAAUAUUAUAUAUCACAAGGUUAAAUUCUACAACUAGGAACUUUAUAAAAAAUGCUUACGACGAUGUAAUUAAAAAAGGACUUGAUGAAUACAACAUUGGGACAACUUGACGAAUACGAUAACAUUGUUUAAAUCAACAACAUAGGCGGUCAAAUUUCAUGGAGCUCUUCCCUUUUGUUUUUCGUUUUCUUCUACAUGAGGUUUACCCUUGCGGAUGGUAACUUUGAAUGAUAUUUUCACGUCCUCUUCUUCAAUUAUGUGAACCAAAUCCUUGAAUGCAAGGGACAAAUCCUUGUAUGCCCUGUCAAAAGCAAAUGACAAAGAGGAUUAAACUUAAUAUAUAUAAAAUUGUUUCUAGGGAUCUUUUGGGUAACCGGCUCCAAUUUAAGCUCAUUAGUUCCACCAUGAACUUAUGAUUAAAAUUGAAUUUUUCAGUGCUUCUCUUUUAGUUUAACCUGCAAACUAUAAUUUAGGAUAGAAACAUAUUUGUCCAUGCUCAUCAUAAAAUUCAAAAUAAUCUAUUGAGAAAAGUCUAGCAGAUCUUUGUUUGUUUCUGGUUCCUUUUUCAUCUUUUUUUGUAUUUCUUCCACAAAACUUUUGUGCUUAGAUCACUGUAUAUUUUGUUCUUAGUCAUUCAAAAAGAAUAUAUAAAUAUCGCAGUAGAAAUGCAAAUGAAAAAGGCAAAGUGAUGCAGCACCAAUAAGAAGAUUAAUAGAAAAAGACGACAGAUUCAGAAAGAAUAGGGAAUUAAGGGGGGAAAGAAGAAUUUAACAGAAGAAGGAGAGGGAUGCGCCAUAAGCCACCAAAAUAAUUAUUUAUUCAUCAACUGAAAAUUACAAUGCAAAAUAGGUUUAAAUAGUAACGAAACCCUAACGAGAUUGGGCCCGAGCCCAUACAAGUACAAUUUUCUAAAUAAUAAUAGUCCAAGAAAAUAAAUAAAGCUUAACAAUAAAAUAAAAGAAGUAAAUGUCCGAUGUCCUCAUCAACUCUCCCGGGGUGGGAGAAAACUUGACCCUGUCGAGUGGAUAUAUCGCUAUAGACUGUCGUCAAUCUCCCAACCAUAAGUUGAGUGGUUGGGGAAGUUUCUUUCGGCAUCUGUAGAAAUGUGUCAGUGGAGGUCUGAAUCUGGUGUCCUCACCAACCCCCCUCGGGUGAACGGGAAGCGAUCUAGGCCAAGGAAGAUCCUGUUGAUUCCGAUAAAACUCCAAUGAAUUUGGAUCCAAUUGCUGUAGUGUCUCUCUGGAGAUCCAUGUACAAUCAGAAUCUGGUCGACCAACCCAACGAACGAGGAAGCAUUGAACCUCUCCAUCAUUAGUAAACACAGUUUCUUCAUUUAAAAUAGCAUCAAUUUUAUCCGUGUGUGCUGUGAGAGGUGGUAGUGGAUUAGAAGUGGCCAAAUAGUCGGGAUCAAGGUCCAUAAAAGGAGGUAACAAAGGAUCAUCUGAGGGAAUGAAAUGACCUUUAUAAGUUACUAGGUCCUUAACAUUGAAAGUAGAGUGGUAACCAAGAUAUGGUGGAAUGUCAACAACAUAUGCAUUUGGACCAACUUGCUUUAAAAUUUUAAAAGGACCAACACUACAAGCUUGCAAUUUGGAGGCGGGUCCAUGUAGACGCCGCUCUGGCCUAAUGCGGACCAUAACGUAAUCCUCAACGUUAAACUCAAUAUGUCGUUUAUGCACAUCAGCUUGGAGUUUAUAUUUUGCAUUACUAGCUUCAAGUUGUUUAUUGAUUUCAAUAUGCAAAUCACGAAGAUGUUGUGCAAAGGCUUCGGCUAACACUAAUACUCUAGCCUGUGGGGACAUAGGGAUGAGAUCUAAUGGUUUUCUAGGCUUGUACCCAUGAACGGCUUCAAAUGGACUCAUACCUAAUGAACGAUUUAUGGAGCUAUUAUACGCAAUUUGAGCUACAGAAAGGAUCAAAUCCCAAUUUCGAAGAUUUUUCUGGACCAGACAACGUAAUAGGUUACCAAGAUUUCGAUUAACUACUUCAGUUUGACCGUCAGUCUGAGGGUGGUAGGCUGUAGAAAAUUUCAAUUUGGUACCCAUCUUUUGCCACAAAGUCCUCCAAAAAUGGCUAGUGAAACGAACAUCCCUAUCGGACACAAUGGUCUUAGGAAGCCCAUACAAUUUAACAAUCUCAUUAAAGAAUAACAUGGCCACCUUAGAUGCAUCUGAGGUCUUGCUACAGGGGACAAAAUGAGCCAUUUUUGAAAAAGAUCGACAACCACAAAAAUAGAAUCAUGUUUCUUUGGGGUGCGUGGAAGGCCUAAUACAAAAACCAUGCUAACAUCUUGCCAAGGACAAUUGGGGAUGGGAAGAAGGGUGUAUAGGCCCGUGUUUUGCUUCUUCUGUUUACUCAAUUGACAAAUGUUACAUGUACUAACAAUCUUAGCUACGCCACGUCUUUCUUCAAGCUAGGCCAAUAGAAUUGACGUUCAACUUCCUCUAUGGUCUUAUCACGUCCAAAGUGAUCGGCUAACCCUCCCGCGUGAAUUUUCCACACAAUGAAAUCUCGCACUGAAGUUCGAGGGAUGCACAAUUUAUUGGCUCGAAAGAGAUAACCCUCCUUAAGUCGGAAGCCAUUGGUGGUGUUGGAUUGUCCCUUUUGCAAAUCGAGAAAGAUAUCCUUAAAAUCGGGACAUGCCUCGUAGUCCUCCUUAAGCCUUUCAAAAUCGAUAACCUUGACACUCAUGAUCGACAAAAGGGAGACACGACAACUUAAUGCGUCAACUACUUGGUUCUCCACGCCCUUCUUAUGUUUUAAAACAAAUGAAUAGGCCUGUAAAUAUUCAAUCCAACGACCAUGCCUAGAGCUUAAUAUUUUCUGGCAAUUGAGAUAAAGGAGGCCCUCGUGGUUCGAAUAAAGGACAAAUUUCUGGGGCAACAAAUAGUGGCGCCAAUAGGGCAAAGCCUGGACCACAACAUACAGUUCCUUAUCGUAAGUCGAGUACCGUUGUUUGGCUUCAUUUAGUUUCUCACUGAAGUAGGCAACAGGGUGACGAUCCUGACUCAAAACUCUGCCUAUACUUACCCCGGAGACAUCAAAUUCAACUUCAAAGACUUUGAAAAAGUCGGGAAGACGCAUGACAGGAGCCUCCGUCAUUCGCUUCUUGACCAACUUAAAGGCUUUAGUUGCUUUUUGUGUCUAAUGAAAUUCCUCUUUUUUCAGGCACUCCGUAAUAGGCGCCAUAAUAGUGCUAAACCUCUUGAUAAAGCGGCGGUAAAAUGUAGCUAAGCCGUGAAAGCUCCUGGCGUCAUGAAUAACUUUAGGCUCAGGCCAGUCAACAAUUGUCUGAACCUUCGCAGGGUCAGCAGAAACCCCUGUCGAAGAGACGAUGAACCCCAGAAAAACGACUGCAUCGGUGAAGAAAGAGCACUUCUUGACGUUAGCAUACGGAUUGGUUGCACGAAAGGUAAAGCAAACUUGUGUGAGGUGGUCACGAUGUUACUCCUUAGUUUUACUAUAGAUGAGAAUAUCAUCAAAGUAGACAACAAGAAACUUAUCCAUGAAAGGUCGAAGAGUUUGUGUCAUUACUCGCAUGAAGGUACUUGGCGCAUUGCUUAGCCCAAAAGGCUUGACCAGUCAUUCAUAAAGACCAUCUUUCGUUUUAAACGCGGUCUUCCAUUCAUCACGUGGGCGAAUUCGAAUCUGAUGGUAUCCACUUUUCAGAUCAAUCUUCGAAAAGAUUGUGGCACCAACCAUCAUAUCUAGCAUAUCGUCAAGUCGAGGAAUGGGAAAACGAUACUUCACUGUGAUCCUAUUGAUCGCACGACUAUCCACACACAUCCUCCAAGAACCAUCCUUUUGGGCAUCAAUAGGGCGGAGACAGCACACGGGCUUAAGCUCUCACGGAUGAACCCUUUGUGAAGGAGAUCAUCCACUUGCCUUUGAAGUUCAGCGUGCUCGGUAGGAUUCAUCCUAUAAUGAGGCAAACUUGGAAGGGAUGCUCUUGGGACGAAAUCUAUGGCAUGUUGAAUAUCUCGUAGAGAAGGUAGAUGAUCAGGUAGGUUCUCCGGAAAGAUAUCUCGAAACUCUUGGAGGAUCGAUUGGACUUCAGCAGGGUUCUCUAUCGUGGAGUGAGAUGAAACCUCCAUGACUACCAAAGCGAACACAAUUGGGUCACCAACAAGUGUACGCUCAAACUCCGUAGGACUAAUGAUAUGCAAUUCCUUUCUUUUCCACACUCUUCUUCGUUUCCAGUUGGCCCGCAGGCUUUGGGGGACAGUGGGUUAAGGUGAAUCUUUUUUCCAUUAAACACGAAGGAGUAGGAAUUAGAUCGACCAUAGAUGGUUACAUCUAGGUCAAAUAACCAAGGUCGUCCCAUGAUGAUGUGCCCGACAUCCAUUGAAAUGACGUCACACUAGGAUCUAGACAACCAUCAAAUGUAGGGGCAUCUAACUUAAUAUUUCGAAAGAGGCGCUCCUCGUGGCGAGAGGGAGAUAGUGUACCAUGACGGUGAUAUUCCCGCUCUCGUCCACGAGCUUGAUUUUCCUCCCUACAAUCAUGUUUGGCGUGGUGUCGACCACCUUGUGGACGACAAUGAGGUCUAUUAAUGGAAGCUUAAGAGUUUUCAGCUUCAGUUGAGUUUGGGGUUGGGUCAAGAGUGUUCAACCUAGUGGUUAGGGCUCUAUUCUUCUCACGAGUAGCGGCUACCUCAGUUUGGACAGCCGUUAAUUGAUUUUGUAAUUGUGUCAACUAUUGGGUGAGAGCUUCAAUUUGGGAAGGGUACUAGCACUAGACGCAGUAACACGACCACUACGCAAUUGCAUACACGGUAACACUAGCUAAGUGAGGUGCGCUAUAGAGAUCAAUAAACAACGAGUGCCAACAGUAGAUUAGCAAUCUGAAAUUUGAUUAUUAUUAUUAUUUAUUUUUUAUUUUUUUGUAUUUGUUAAAAAUGAGAUAACGUAAGGUUCGAUCUUAGCAAGCUAAUAAUACUAAUGUGAAUAAAAUAAAAAGCAAAGGUACAAAUGAUAGGCCUAGUCACGUGGGGGGAAAUGGGUGAACAAUGGAAGUCAGUUCACGAUUUCCGAUCAAGUAGGAUUAAGGCUAAAAUUAUCAGAAUAGUAGCAACACAAAGAAAUAAUUGAUGCAAUUCUAGAAAAAGCAGUAGUGUAAACUAAAAAUAGAGAAGGGCAGUGACUCCCUGAGUUCGGUUGUGACUCCUUGUACUCCGAUUGAUCAGAAUUUGCCAACUUGUGUGACCCCGUUCUAUCUUCUCGUUUCAGUAGUCCUUCCUUUAGAACCCACUCCCUCGAAAUCCGGUUGAACUGCCGCUCCUUGAAAUUGAAUAUCUUCAGUUGAGAUAGGUGAAUGUGGCCCCGUGAUUUAGAACGUGGCUAAUGGCGGUGAAAGUAGCUGCAGGGGUGUUGAUUUGAGAUGCCGGCAUUGGAGAUGUUGGCCGCGAUUGAUGGCGAUGUCCAGGAUGGCAGUGGGUGUUGAGUGGCAAUUGUGGGUUCAAGUGGCGUUCGCGGCGCUGGUUGUGAGACCGCAGGGGAGCAUCGACUUUUGGUGCGCGAGUGUAGAGAAGAAAUCGAGAUGGUCAUGCGUAAUAGACGAGGGUGAAGGUCUAUUGGUGGCUUAUGACGGCGGGCGACAGCGUCUGGGGAGGAGGGUGGGUUUGUUGUUGGCGGUGGAUUGUGUGAGUGAUGAUGUGGGAAUGCGUCGGUGAUGCCGGCAGUGUUGAAGAGUGUUGUCGCUGGCGCAGCUGGGUCAGAAAAGAAGGGAGAUGAUGCUAACGCUGAGAUGAAGGGGAAGGCAGAGGCGUGUUGACGACUGAAGUAUUGGGUCGGGUUGUAAGAGUUUAAGUGGUUGAGUAAUGGGCUAAUGUGGGUGUUGGGCUGGAUAAUUGGGUUGUAUAAUAUUAGGUUGUGGGCUGGGAUUGGACUGAAUAGCUUGGGCUAGGUUUGAGUGUUAGGGUUGAAUUUUGUGGAACAAUACUACAAAUUUAUAGCAGCAGCAGAAAAUGUUUUUUUUUUCUUCUUCUAUGAAGCUGAAACUGCAGGAAAAAGAAUCUAAUGAAAUUUUCGAGUGUGAACAGUAACGUGAAUCUUUUUUUUUUUUCAACAACGAAUGACAACUAGAAAAAUGGAAUCUGCUGCUUGUGCACUGAAAAUCUUUUCACUUGUGUUGUUCCAACAAAUUUUGGGAAGAAGGUGAAAAAGAAUUUUGUAUUGUAGAUUAGGUUUACCCAAGUUUCGGCUCUGAUACCAAAUUUGAUACAGUACUAAUAAGAAGAUUAAUAGAAAAAGACGACAGAUUUAGAAAGAAUAGGGAAUUAGGGGGGAAGAAGAAUAAUUUAACAGAAGAAGGAGAGGAAUGCGCCAUAAGCCACCAAAAUAAUUAUUCAUUCAUCAAUUGAAAAUUACAAUGCAAAAUAGAUUUAAAUAGUAAUGAAAUCCUAACGAGAUUGGGCUCGAGCCCAUACAAGUCCAAUUUUUUAAAUAAUAAUAGUCCAAGAAAAUAAAUAAAACUUAACAAUAAAAUAAAAUAAGUAAAUGUCCGAUGUCCUCAUCACAAAGAUUGCCACCCCAGUUACUUACUCAACUGCAAAUUCUUCGGAUGAAUGUAGCUUGCACCAAGGAGUUCGAUUUCUUCCUUGUUUUUGUAGUUAGGGUUUUGAGUGUCUAGAUUGAGGGAUUUGGGGAUGGAGCUUGAACAGUUGAUUUGGGAUUUCUUGUGUUGUGGAAUGAGAGAUUUGGGGAUGGAGCUUCAACAAUUGAUUUGGGAUUUCUUGGUUUCACGUUUUGGUUUGUGUUCUAUGAGAAGAAAGGCAUUUAAGAGUUAAAAAUUUGGCAAAGGUGUGUUUGGCUAUGUGACGUGGCACUGAUAUGGCGAAACAUUUAACAUUUGGAAAGAGAUAAGAUAAUAGGCAACUCAGAUUUCCAUCCUCCAUGUCAGCAUUAAUUGAGAUGGAAUUGACCCGGUGUGUAAUGGAGAAUAACGGAUCAAAGUUUAGUGGGUAAGCCAUAACAUGGUGUAAAGUUCAAUGGGCAAUGAAACAUUUAACUCGGAAACAAACUGAUGUGUGAAUUAAUGAUUGGGUGUUAUGUUUUUUUUUUUUUUUUUUUUUCCUCAAUCUCAAGUCAACACGUGUCUCUCUAGGUUUUGAAUCUGUCUCCAAACCUGUUUAUAUAGCAUGUUUGAUAAGGAAUUAUUGCCACUGUAUUUUAGCACUGAAACAAAAGGGGAGCAACGGACAACUAGACUUAUCCUCAUGGGCCUGGUGAUUCUGCUUAUCGAAUGGGACCCUCAGAGCAAUUCGUUUUCCAAUUUAAAUUAACCUUGUAAUUAUUUCAAAUUAGCAGACUGGCGGAACGUAUGGCUCCUAUGUUUUCAAAUUCUGCAUGGUAUUGUGCCUGGUAUUUAAUACAGUCAACUUUGGUGCUUUCCUCUCAAAAAACUCCCAUUCGGUGACUUUAAAAAAUAUAUGCUCUGCAGACUUGACUUAACUGAAUCUUUUAAGUUGCCUUUCCAAUUUUGAGAUAUUCAAUCUUAUACUUUCAUUUCAACUUAUCCGACACCCAGCUAUCUCUGCUAGAAUGAUCUUGUUCGUGGAUGGGGGAUGGACAUGACACUCGGCUAUUGUGCAUAGGUAAAUUACUACCUCACGAGUCAUGAUGGUAUUUUAUAAACUUAUUUAUUGUAACUAAUUAUUUUGUAUGAGCUAACAGUUCGCCGACUAAACCUUUGCACUGUGUAUUAAGCUUAAAUGAUAGCGCAAUGACAAUCAGACAAAGGCGUAAGCUGAGUAAAAGUCAUGUAAUCUUUGUUAUUGAUAAACUUUGGAUCUUAUGUAGGGCGAUCUCUCGAAGAGAGUCAGAGUAGUUGACAGUGAAAACAUUGCUCAUGAGGGAAUCCAGACUUUAAAAAAUAAAAAAAUAAAUAAAUAUAUAUAUCACAUGGGGCUGGGGCCCAUGUGAUGAAAUCCUAAAAUUAGGUUUACUAAUCCUGUUAAAACUUCUAAAUGAUGGGACCAUUGAUUUUUUUGCUUUUAUACGCACUUCGAUUUAUCUAAUGGAUCAAUCUCAUUUUCUUUGCCUAUGUAAUAUUUGAUAUUUGUGCAGGCUUCACACCCCGAGGAGACCGUGAAGGUAUAAUUCCCACUAUGCCUGUUGUUUUUUGUUUCAAUACACUUAUCUGCAUCGUUAAACUAGAGAAAUUAUUGUUAUUUUAAAUGAAAUGAGGCCUAAUUUUAUAUAUAUUUCAUUUGUUAAGUGCAUCUCGAUGACAACAAUGGAAGUUUACAAAAGGAGUGAAAAAUUGGCUAAAAGGGGUUGAAUCCAAAGUUUGGGGACUGAAUUGCAAAGGGUUCAUAGUUGAUUCGGACCCAAUAUCAAUGAUUAUAGAAGUUUCUUUUGAUGGUCAGAGGCAAAUUGAAAGCUAAACAAUGAUUAAUCGAGUGGAAAAAUAAAGAUGUCCCCUACGUUAAUCAGCCUUUAUCUGGCCAACUACUUAUUACUGCGCGGGCUCAUCAAACAACGCUUUUUAGCUUUCUUUAGGAUUCGGCCCAAACCGUCUGGAAUAGAAUCAAACAAAAAGCUGUUAGCAAGGUCCCAAGUAGGCUGUACAUGAAAUAGACGACUAAUCUUUAACUUUUCGAGGAAUCCUUCAUUGGUGGUUGUGAAUGACUGAUUUUUUCAAUGUUUUCGACCUUGGUUCCAUUUUCGAUAUCACUUAUUCAAGCGCCCUGAGAAAUCCCAAGCAAUUCUAUUUUGUUGGAAUUGGAACCUAAAGGAUCAAGAAGACAUCAAAAAGAGUUAAAAUGAAUGAAAAUCGAAGUACAUGGAUCAAAGUGCAACAAUUAGAAGAUUUUAUAACUACGUGCGCACGGGUUUAAAGUGGGGCGCGGGGGACCGUGUCAAACUGGGGCAAAUUUUGGGCGUUCUCAUACUGGGAAAAUUUUGGACCGAACAGCCAAGCUUUUGUGUUUCGACCUAAACUCUAUGUAAGCCAAAUUUAACCUACCAUUUAAACAACAUGGGAUGGCUAGAAUGGCAAGAUACGUUAUCAUAUAUAAUUUUUACCACAAGAAGGAGGCAAGCGGAGGAUUCAAAGGUGAUUAUCACAAAAAAAUUGAAGAUUCAACAUUCGGAUUGAAGAUUAACAAAGAAGAAAUUGAUCUUUUACUUUCUAAUCAUUGUUUUUAUUUUCAAGUGAUAUUUUUUCAUUAUUCUUCUUGUAAUUUAUAUAUUAAUAUGCUAAACUAGAC